AUUGAACGCUGGCGGCAUGCCUUACACAUGCAAGUCGAACGGCAGCACGGGUGCUUGCACCUGGUGGCGAGUGGCGAACGGGUGAGUAAUACAUCGGAACAUGUCCUGUAGUGGGGGAUAGCCCGGCGAAAGCCGGAUUAAUACCGCAUACGAUCUACGGAUGAAAGCGGGGGACCUUCGGGCCUCGCGCUAUAGGGUUGGCCGAUGGCUGAUUAGCUAGUUGGUGGGGUAAAGGCCUACCAAGGCGACGAUCAGUAGCUGGUCUGAGAGGACGACCAGCCACACUGGGACUGAGACACGGCCCAGACUCCUACGGGAGGCAGCAGUGGGGAAUUUUGGACAAUGGGCGAAAGCCUGAUCCAGCAAUGGCGCGUGUGUGAAGAAGGCCUUCGGGUUGUAAAGCACUUUUGUCCGGAAAGAAAUCCUUGGCCCUAAUACGGUCGGGGGAUGACGGUACCGGAAGAAUAAGCACCGGCUAACUACGUG
rnacentral:rRNA from 1 species